ACUCAAAUGAAUUGACGGGGGCCCGCACAAGCGGUGGAGCAUGUGGUUUAAUUCGACGCAACGCGCAGAACCUUACCAGCCCUUGACAUCCCGGUCGCGGACUCCAGAGACGGAGUUCUUCAGUUCGGCUGGACCGGAGACAGGUGCUGCAUGGCUGUCGUCAGCUCGUGUCGUGAGAUGUUGGGUUAAGUCCCGCAACGAGCGCAACCCCCGUCCUUAGUUGCUACCAUUCAGUUGAGCACUCUAAGGAGACUGCCGGUGAUAAGCCGCGAGGAAGGUGGGGAUGACGUCAAGUCCUCAUGGCCCUUACGGGCUGGGCUACACACGUGCUACAAUGGCGGUGACAAUGGGAUGCUAAGGGGUGACCCUUCGCAAAUCUCAAAAAGCCGUCUCAGUUCGGAUUGGGCUCUGCAACUCGAGCCCAUGAAGUUGGAAUCGCUAGUAAUCGUGGAUCAGCACGCCACGGUGAAUACGUUCCCGGGCCUUGUACACACCGCCCGU
rnacentral:rRNA from 1 species